GCUAUUCCCUCGUCCGGUCAUUUUCGUAAUGGGCACCACCCCAAGGGCUCGCCGGUUUCCCUCGUCUGAGAUUUAGACGGCAGUAGCUGAAGCUUCCAAGCUUAGGAAGGGGGUGGUGGU
rnacentral:tRNA from 1 species